rnacentral:rRNA from 1 species
GUCUACGGCCAUGCUACCCUGAACAAGCCCAAUCCCGUCUGAUCUCGGAAGCUAAGCAGGGGCCUGGUUAGUACUUGGAUGGGAGACCACCUAGAAGACCAGGUGCUGUAGGCA